GACGAACGCUGGCGGCGUGCCUAAUACAUGCAAGUCGAACGCAGUGGGGACGGGUGAGUAACACGUGGGUAACCUCCCCAUCAGAGGGGAUAACACUUGGAAACAGGUGCUAAACCAAUACGGAUGGAUGGCCCCGCGGUGCAUUAGUUAGUUGGUGAGGUAACGGUUCACCAAGGCCAAGAUGCCGAGCCAACCUGUGAUGGUAAUCGGCAACAGUGGGAGUGAGACACGGCACAUACUCCAUCGGUAGGCAGCAGUAGGGAAUCUGCGGCAAUGGACGAAAGUCUGACCGAGCAGCGCCGCGUUAGUGAAGAAGUUUUUCGGAUCGUAAAACUCUGUUGUUAGAGAAGCGGUAUCUAACCAGAAAGCCACGGCUAACUACGUGCCAGCAGCCGCGGUAAUAC
rnacentral:rRNA from 1 species